rnacentral:rRNA from 1 species
UACGGAGGGGGCUAGCGUUGUUCGGAAUUACUGGGCGUAAAGCGCACGUAGGCGGACUGUUAAGUCGGGGGUGAAAUCCUGGGGCUCAACCUCAGAAUUGCCCUCGAUACUGGCAGCCUUGAGUACGGGAGAGGUGAGUGGAAUUCCCAGUGUAGAGGUGAAAUUCGUAGAUAUUGGGAAGAACACCAGUGGCGAAGGCGGCUCACUGGCCCGUAACUGACGCUGAGGUGCGAAAGCGUGGGGAGCAAACAGG